rnacentral:rRNA from 1 species
AACGAACGCUGGCGGCAUGCCUAACACAUGCAAGUCGAACGAGACCUUCGGGUCUAGUGGCGCACGGGUGCGUAACGCGUGGGAACCUGCCCUUAGGUUCGGAAUAACUCCCCGAAAGGGGUGCUAAUACCGGAUAAUGUCUUCGGACCAAAGAUUUAUCGCCUUUGGAUGGGCCCGCGUUGGAUUAGCUAGUUGGUAGGGUAAAAGCCUACCAAGGCGACGAUCCAUAGCUGGGCUGAGAGGAUGAUCAGCCACACUGGGACUGAGACACGGCCCAGACUCCUACGGGAGGCAGCAGUGGGGAAUAUUGGACAAUGGGCGAAAGCCUGAUCCAGCAAGGCCGCGUGAGUGAUGAAGGCCUUAGGGUUGUAAUGCUCUUUUACCCGGGAUGAUAAUGACAGUACCGGGUGAAUAAGCUCCGGCUAACUCCGUG